AGCUUUCUUAAUCCGAGAUGAGAUUUAGUCAGACAUCGGCCCAUCAGGACUGACGAGACUCCCAAGUUAGGUUAGGCA
rnacentral:pre_miRNA from 1 species